GACGAACGCUGGCGGCGUGCUUAACACAUGCAAGUCGAGCGGUAAGGCCCUUUCGGGGGUACGACGAGCGGCGAACGGGUGAGUAACACGUGGGUGGACCUGCCCUCAGCUCUGGGAUAAGCCUGGGAAACUGGGUCUAAUACCGGAUAUGACUUCGCAUCGCAUGGUGUGGGGUGGAAAGUUUUUCGGUCUGGGGAGUGGCCCGGCGGCCUAUCAGCUUGUUGGUGGGGUGAUGGCCUACCAAGGCGACGACGGGUAGCCGGCCUGAG
rnacentral:rRNA from 1 species